rnacentral:rRNA from 1 species
GAUGAACGCUGGCGGCGUGCCUAAUACAUGCAAGUCGAACGAACAGACGAGGAGCUUUCUCCUCUGACUUUAGCGUCGGGCGGGUGAGUAACACGUGGAUAACCUACCUUUAAGACUGGGAUAACUUCGGGAAACCGGUGCUUAUUCCGGCUAAUUUUUUCAACCGCAUGGUUCAAUAGUUUCAGACGGUUUUGCUGUCACUUAUAGAUGGAUCCGCGCCGCAUUAGCUAGUUUGUAAGGUAACGGCUUACCAAGGCAACGAUGCGUAUCCGACCUGAGAGGGUGAUCGGCCACACUGGAAAUGAGAAAAGGGCCAGACUCCUAAGGGAGGCAGCAGUAGGGAAACUUCCGAAAAGGGCGAAAGCCUGAAGGAGCAAAGCCGCGUGAGUGAUGAAGGUCUUCGGAUCGUAAAACUCUGUUAUGAGGGAAGAACAAAUGUGUAAGUAACUAUGCACGUCUUGACGGUACCUAAUAAGAAAGCCACGGCUAACUACGUG